GGGGUUCCGUUAUGUAGUAAAAAACAUUAUGUUUGGUGUGAAAUACUGGACCAAACAGCGGUGCCCUUAAUAGAGUAGGUUCAAUCACCUUAGUACAAAGUGAAAAGUUAAAUGCGGGAACCGCGC